rnacentral:rRNA from 1 species
CCUACCUUACAUUGGGGGAUAGCCUUUCGAAAGGGAGAUUAAUACCGCAUAAGACAGUAACUAGGCAUCUAGUAGCUGUUAAAGAUUUAUCGAUGUAAGCUGGGCAUGCGUCCAAUUAGUUAGUUGGCGAGGUAAUGGCUCACCAAGACGAUGAUUGGUAGGGGAACUGAGAGGUCAAUCCCCCACACUGGCACUGAGAUACGGGCCAGACUCCUACGGGAGGCAGCAGUAGGGAAUAUUGGGCAAUGGGCGCAAGCCUGACCCAGCCAUGCCGCGUGCAGGAAGAAGGCGUUAUGCGUUGUAAACUGCUUUUAUACAGGAAGAAACGACCCUUGCGAGGGGCAUUGACGGUACUGUAUGAAUAAGCACCGGCUAACUCCGUGCCAGCAGCCGCGGUAAUACGGAGGGUGCAAGCGUUGUCCGGAUUUAUUGGGUUUAAAGGGUGCGCAGGUGGUUUAUUAAGUCAGUGGUGAAAGACGGUCGCUCAACGAUUGCAGUGCCAUUGAUACUGGUAGACUUGAGUAAAGUAGAGGUGGGCGGAAUUGAUAGUGUAGCGGUGAAAUGCAUAGAUAUUAUCAAGAACUCCAAUUGCGUAGGCAGCUCACUUGGCUUUUACUGACACUCAUGCACGAAAGUGUGGGUAUCAAACAGGAUUAGAUACCCUGGUAGUCCACACUGUAAACGAUGAUAACUAGGCG